rnacentral:rRNA from 1 species
GCCAGACCUGACUGCUAUCGGAUUGAUACUAAGCCAUGCGAGUCRUUGUAGCAAUACAAGGCAUACGGCUCAGUAACGCGUAGUCAACCUAACCUAUGGACGGGAAUAACCUCGGGAAACUGAGAAUAAUGCCCGAUAGAACAUUAURCCUGGAAUGGUUUAUGUUCCAAAUGAUUUAUCGCCRUAGGAUGGGACUGCGGCCUAUCAGUUUGUUGGUGAGGUAAUGGCCCACCAAGACUAUUACAGGUACGGGCUCUGAGAGGAGUAGCCCGGAGAUGGGUACUGAGACACGGACCCAGGCCCUAUGGGGCGCAGCAGGCGAGAAAACUUUGCAAUGUGCGAAAGCACGACAAGGUUAAUCCGAGUGAUUUCUGCUAAAGAAAUCUUUUGUUAGUCCUAGAAACACUAACGAAUAAGGGGUGGGCAAGUUCUGGUGUCAGCCGCCGCGGUAAAACCAGCACCUCAAGUGGUCAGGAUGAUUAUUGGGCCUAAAGCAUCCGUAGCCGGCUCUGUAAGUUUUCGGUUAAAUCUGUACGCUYAACGUACAGGCYGCCGGAAAUACUGCARARCUAGGGAGUGGGAGAGGUAGACGGUACUCGGUAGGAAGUGGUAAAAUGCUUUGAUCUAUCGAUGACCACCUGUGGCGAAGGCGGUCUACCAGAACACGUCCGACGGUGAGGGAUGAAAGCUGGGGGAGCAAACCGGAUUAGAUACCCGGGUAGUCCCAGCUGUAAACUAUGCAAACUCAGUGAUGCAUUGGCUUGUGGCCAAUGCAGUGCUGCAGGGAAGCCGUUAAGUUUGCCGCCUGGGAAGUACGUACGCAAGUAUGAAACUUAAAGGAAUUGGCGGGGGAGCACCACAAGGGGUGAAGCCUGCGGUUCAAUUGGA